CCGGGGGCUCCGCGCCGCCGCUGCUGCUCAUGGGGGAGGCUCGGCGCGGCGGCGGCGGCGGCGGGGGCGGCUGCGGCGCUGGCGGGAGCGGCGGCGGCUGCCUCCUCGCCUCGCCCUCGAAAGACACGUCAUGACUUUGAACAGCCUGGUCCAAGGAGCCAGGACCUCAGCAUCCUCCUGGCACCUCGGCAUCCUCCAGGUACCUGGGCAUCCUCUGGGUACCUGGGCAUCUUCCUGGCACCUCGGCACUCUCCAGGCAUCUCAGCAUCCUUCUGGCACCUCGGCAUCCUCCGGGUACCUGGGCAUCCUCUGGGUACCUGGGCAUCCUCUGGGUACCUGGGCAUCUUCCUGCCACCCGGGCAUCCUCCUGGCAUUUUGGCAUCCCCAGCACCAGCCUCAGGGCCCCGUGUCCCCGGCAGGGAAGCGGAGAAGGAAUGGAUGGGAGGGGGAUGCCGAGGCCACACCUGCCCCGCCCGUACCUGUGCAGGGCCGAGCCCCGCUCCACAUCCCGGGGCCGCCGUUCUGGCCGUGCCCCGCCUGCACCGGGCCGGGGGCAGCCCCCAGGGCAGGACAGCGGCUGAGCCGGGCCGGGGCUGGCACCGGGAGAUGCUCCCGUCACCUCGGACCUGCGGGCAGGACUGCCCUGUGUCACCGCCCUGUGUCACCCCCUGUGUCACCCCCUGUGGCACCGCCCCGUGUCACCGCCCCGUGUCACCGCGGGGACACCGCACAGCCACCCCACGCCGCUGGUUCUGGAGGGUCUGAACAAGGAGAAGCCCUCGGCCCCUCAGCAUCAGGAGGAGCCCCCGUCCAGCUCUCCCCUUCUGCCACGCCGAGGUCACUUCGCCAUCCACACCUCUGACCACGACUUGGACAAACUCAGGGAACAGAGCUCUUGCAAGGGUUGUAAUUGGAAUAAAUAGUUUAGUGUUCAAACAGGCAUUGGGUAAGGACAGAGGCACAACAGUCUCCAUGAGCACACAGUGCUGGCUGCUGAGGUAACCAGGUUUCCACAGUACCAAAGCUGUUUUGCAUAGAAACUUUUAAUUGCUUCACAUGAGCACAAACCUUUAGAAUAAACAGGAAUUUGCUCACCUCAAGGUGCUGGAAUCAUGCUUGGAGUGUGUAAAUGUUUUCUGUCAUACUAUUUUACUUUUGACUAGACAGGAUGAAGCUUUUGAAUACAGAGGAUUUCUCCUAUUUUGUAGAGGCUUCUAUUCCUCCAAAUAAUGCAAGGAGAUUCCAUUUUUUUUGAGCAAAUAGUUCUCUGACAAAUCUAUCCAUCAAACCUAUUCACUUGGUUUAUUUUCCAAGGGAAAAAGGGACAAACAAAUUAAAAAAAAUUAAAUACUUAAAUAUUAUUACAUUUAUAGUCCUAAAAUAUGUAAAUCAACUGCAUUGAAUUUUCUAUUAGCUUUUAAAUAUUCACCUCGAUAUACAUUUGUUCUUCAGGGCACACAAGAGAUAAAUAAUUGAGUUAACAUUGCUAGAUAAAUCAAAUCUUUUUUCCUGAGCUGCAAAUAUUCCAGAUUAUAACCUUGAAGUCGCUAUGCAGUAACUACAAAUGGAAACUAAACAGAUCAAAGUGAGCAAGCAGGAGUCCACACUCAAGUACCCAGAGACCCAAUUUUCUGAGACAUCCAGGAGCAGCCCCAGCAUUUCAGCUUGCUGGAUCAAGACCAAAUAAAAUGUAAAACCUCUGAAAUAUAAAACCAAGCUUAAACACGGGGUGCAGGAGCAGCCUGGGAUUUGGGCUUGGGCCAUGAACAAUGUAAGGACACGAGAGUUAAAUCAAACAAAACACCCUCAAAACCAAGCCCCACAGCAAUUUUGGGUAUAGCUGUGGUUUUGAAUGUCUAAAUAGAUUGUGGUGACUUUCAGCCACAGACAGUGGGAGACCUAAUUCCAUUCUGGCUUCAGGAUCUUGUCUGCACUGAGCAGAAUUCAUAUUGCACAGCAUUACUUCUCUCCCAACAAUAAACUAACCCCUGUCAUUUGGGAGAUGAACUAAAAUAAUCCUAAUUACUCCCAUACAACUCCCAAUAGUGCCCAUGCAGGUGGAAGUGGACAGAAGGAAUUAACAGCUUCAGUUAAACCCUACUUGAAAACCAGUUUUUUGUGAGCUGCAGCCUCUUGACAGCACCAGGACAACAGGUGAAGUCAGAUAAAAAGCAAAGAAAAUGAUUUUCUUGUGUGUAUGUGGAUAUAAUGCUUUCCAUGCUCUUCUCUACAGGCCAGGCAAACUCCUCAAAAAAAAGAGGAUAGGUAAAAAAUAAGGGCAACAAGAAUCAGCUACACAGAGCUCUUCUGCCAUGUUGUGGAGAACUUUUAUUUUAUCACACCUGCUUCUGUGUUGGUGACCGAACUGAUCAGUUAUGAUCAGCUCCAGGGGCUCUUUGCAAACGUCUCUGUUGAUUUACCCAAGCAAACACCAAUGUGGGAACUAAAUUCAAUCCCAGGAUGGGCACUCUGCUCCAGCUAUGAGGAAAUUGGGAUUUAAAUUCAAUCCCAGGAUGGGCACUCUGCUCCAGCUAUGAGGAAAUUGGGAUUUAAAUUCAAUCCCAGGAUGGGCACUCUGCUCCAGCUAUGAGGAAAUUGGGAUUUAAAUUCAAUCCCAGGAUGGGCACUCUGCUCCAGCUACAAGGAAAUUGGGAUUUAAAUUCAAUCCGAGGAUGGGAACUCUGCUCCAGCUACAAGGAAAUUGGGAUUUAAAUUCAAUCCCAGGAUGGGAACUCUGCUCCACCUAUGAGGAAAUUUGGAUUUAAAUUCAAUCCCAGGAUGGGCACUCUGCUCCAGCUAUGAGGAAGUUGGGAUUUGACU